rnacentral:rRNA from 1 species
UACGAAGGGGGCUAGCGUUGUUCGGAAUUACUGGGCGUAAAGCGCACGUAGGCGGAUACUUAAGUCAGGGGUGAAAUCCCGGGGCUCAACCCCGGAACUGCCUUUGAUACUGGGUAUCUCGAGUCCGGAAGAGGUGAGUGGAAUUCCGAGUGUAGGAGGUGAAAAUUCGUAGAUAUUCGGAGGAACACCAGUGGCGAAGGGCGGCUCACUGGUCCGGUACUGACGCUGAGGUGCGAAAGCGUGGGGAGCAACAGGG